rnacentral:rRNA from 1 species
AACGAACGCUGGCGGCAGGCCUAACACAUGCAAGUCGAGCGAGUCCUUCGGGUCUAGCGGCUGACGGGUGAGUAACGCGUGGGAACGUGCCCUUUUCUACGGAAUAGCCUCGGGAAACUGAGCGUAAUAGCGUAUACGCCCUAUCGGGGAAUGAUUUAUCGGAGAAGGUUCGGCCCGCGUUGGUUUAGGUAGUUGGUGGGGUAAUGGCCUACCAAGCCUACGAUCCAUAGCUGGUUAGAGAGGCUGAUCCGCCACACUGGGACUGAGACACGGCCCAGACUCCUACGGGAGGCAGCAGUGGGGGAUCUUAGACAAUGGGGGCAACCCUGAUCUAGCCAUGCCGCGUGAGUGAUGAAGGCCUUAGGGUUGUAAAGCUCUUUCAGCUGGGCAGAUAAUGACGGUACCAGCAGAAGAAGCCCCGGCUAACUACGUG